AAAAUACUCCCUCCGUCUCAAAAUUNNNGUCUUAGGUUUGUCUAGAAAUAGAUGUAUCUAAAUACUAACAUGACUAGAUACAUUUAUAUUUAGACAAAUCUAAGACAAAAAUUUUGAAACGGAGGGAGUAGCAA
rnacentral:pre_miRNA from 1 species